UCGUAACAAGGUCUCCGUUGGUGAACCAGGCGGAGGGAUCAUUA
rnacentral:rRNA from 1 species